rnacentral:piRNA from 1 species
UGUAAGGACUGCCAUUUCCCCCCUC